UUAACAUUGUAGGUACCUCUACAAGCAUGAACAUAGGAUUUAUAUUAUCCUGAGCCAUAUAUUAGGCUACAUGUCUGAUAUUUAUGCUAUCAUAAUAUGUGUUAAGAAUAGUUGCUGAAUAGUAUACAUGCUAGAAAUAAUGACACUUGUGAUAUUACUUUAAUCUUUCAUGACUGUUACUGAGAUGGCCAAUUUUUAUAUAUAUUUUAAAUAAUUUUUGUCAUUUCUGUAAAAUGUUAAAAGUGUGUUGGAUUUGUAAACAAUAGCUGCCUGGAUCUUGUGAUGAAUUUUGUGAGUGUUUAAAGUUUUUAAUUGUUUUUGAUAUACAUUUUUUCUUAUAUCUUAAAAUUAUAUGACCAAGUUUGCUCAUAUUAAUAUAAUGCAAGAUCCACACAAACAUCGUUUACAUAUUCUUUUCCAUAUUUACAAUUUAUCUCUAAAGAUUUGUCACACACUUUUCGUGUUACUUCGGCGUUUAGAGUACGAUAAGAGCGUUUAUUACCGGCUUAGAAACAAGUUGUUUUUCAUUAUGUAGGAAAAGGCGGAUGCCCGUUCAGCAAGCAUCUAUUUACACAACGUAAACAGCGGCAUAUAGGUCGCCGUCGCCUCGCUCUAACAAUAUAGGGUCUCACUUGGUCUCUUUGGAAAGAAAUUUAUGAGGAAUUGUUUUCCCUUACUGUUUACUUUUUGCCUGAUCUUAGCUUGAACGGCGGCGGCGCGAUUCGAAGAUCACCACACACCGGAAUCCAGCGCAUCCAGUCUCCCUCACAGCCAUUUAGCGCUUUGCAAUGUUCCUAGACAACCAAUCAAAUCAUGCGAAUUGCAUUCAUGCUGUGCUUGUAGGAGGCGCCUACACAGACGUGUGCCAAAGCUUGCGAACAGAGAAAUAACGCAGACACAGUGUAUAUGCGCACAAUUGUAUAAUAAUAAUUAUAAUAUUUUCAGGAUCGUUGAAGGCCCCUCACACGCCAGGGCCCUAUGCACUCUGUCACCCUUUUCCCCCCACUUACGACGCCCCUGAUCACCCAGUAUUAUACUGCUAAUUCUCUUUACAGUAAAUAACUGUGAUUCCCUUUGCAUCAUGUGAAUUUUCUGUGACGUCAAACACCACAUACAGAGAUUUACUGUAUUUUUUAAAUUUGCAGUAUACUACUGUAUUUGCUGUAAUAGCCUCUCUGGCAACAUUUCAUGUUUUCCAAUCGUGUUUUUUAUUUUCCUCUUUUUUGUACAUUUGGUUUGACAUGAUUUGCCUUACACCGUGUGUCUACAAUGCUAUAACAGCAUUGGCUGGCGACCGGACAACUGCAAAAUGCUGUUUGUCCCUUGUGUCAGAAAUACCGCGAGGCUUGGACUCUGAAUACCGUACGUCAGAAAUAUAACGGGGCAUCAGUAUGCAGUCUGGGAUUUGUCGUGUCGCGCUGGAGCAUCCAGUGUAAACAAUAUCACCUUAUUAUGGGUUCUGCUAGAUUACGCCGUUCACGUCCUGGGUAGAGAUGGAACCAGCGCGGCAGCGCCACAGUCUCCGGCCGGUGUACCAAUGUACCUCAUGAAGGCUUAUCCCCGAGAGAAAGCGACCAGCAAGCAAGGUAUAAAAAAUUCUUUUCCACGGUAAACUGCGUUAACGUUUCAUUUUACAAAAGAUUUUGUUAGAUUAUGGAAUUUAAUAUGUACUGCAGUUUUUGUAUGCGUGUUUUAAAGGCAACUGUCUGCAAUUCGCGCCAGUGACUGCUAGCAAGACUGAGCAAAUGAACCAAUCAGAAGAUGGACCAUUUUCUAUGUUCAGUCUCACCAGAUUAAAUUUAUCCAGGCAGAAGACUCUCUACCAUUGCAGUCCUACCUGACCAGGAAGGUCCUAAUAUCAGAGCACAGCUCCCCCUUCACUGCAGACCAGCAGAAAUGGGUUAAAUAAUCGAUUGCAGUCUUUCUUUCUAUGGAUCUCAGCAUUUUUGGGCAGAAUUUCGGAUAGAAUUUAGGAUAUUGUCAGAACCGGGAUCUCCUCUGAAGGACUGAGUACAUUUGUGCUCCACCAGUGUACAUCAAUCCAACAAAUUUUGGAAAUAGUGAAAUGAUUUUGAUAGUGGGGUUAUGUGUUGUUAUCAUGUUAUCUAAUGAUAUUGUGAAAAGAAUGGUUUUGUCCUGUGUUGGACAUUUACUUUUUGACUGCUUAAAAAUGUAUUUAUAUUCUGCAGUUUUAUGAAUGUAAUUGUUGAUAUUUAAUUAUAAUAAUUUUUUGACAAUAAGCUAAACAACGUGUUUAGUAGUAGUGUAGUGAAGGACAACACAAUGUGUUAAUUUAACAUGUUUACACAUCUUUGUGCUAACCUUUCUGACACAUUUACUUUGUUAAAAACAUUAACACAGCUUAAUGAGUUAAAAUUAACACAAAAUGUUGUCCCUAAACUCUCCCAUUAAUGUGUAAAAAUUGUCAUUUUUAACACAAUGUAAAGCAAUGUUUUAAAUAAAAAAAUUAUAUUUUGCAAUAAUUUUGUCUCUUUGAAUUGUAUGUCAGUAGUACUUAUGUACAUGUAGGAUAAAAAUAAAAUUAAUUCUAUAUAAAAUUUAUGAAAUCUAAUUUAUAUUUAGUUCAAAUAAAAGAAUUACAGAUUACCUGUUUUUUUUUGUUUUGUUUUUUUUACAGUAAUUACACCGUAUUACAUAAUUACAGUAUCAUGUAUUUACUGUAAAACUGAAAUACAGUUAUAGUACUGUA